rnacentral:rRNA from 1 species
AACGAACGCUGGCGGCAUGCCUAACACAUGCAAGUCGAACGAGACCUUCGGGUCUAGUGGCGCACGGGUGCGUAACGCGUGGGAACCUGCCCUUAGGUUCGGAAUAACUCCCCGAAAGGGGUGCUAAUACCGGAUAAUGUCUUCGGACCAAAGAUUUAUCGCCUUUGGAUGGACCCGCGUUGGAUUAGCUAGUUGGUAGGGUAAAAGCCUACCAAGGCGACGAUCCAUAGCUGGUCUGAGAGGAUGAUCAGCCACACUGGGUCUGAGACACGGCCCAGACUCCUACGGGAGGCAGCAGUGGGGAAUAUUGGACAAUGGGCGAAAGCCUGAUCCAGCAAUGCCGCGUGAGUGAUGAAGGCCUUAGGGUUGUAAAGCUCUUUUACCCGGGAUGAUAAUGACAGUACCGGGAGAAUAAGCUCCGGCUAACUCCGUG